UACGGAAGGCAGCAGUGGGGAAUAUUGCACAAUGGGCGCAAGCCUGAUGCAGCCAUGCCGCGUGUAUGAAGAAGGCCUUCGGGUUGUAAAGUACUUUCAGUCGUGAGGAAGGUGUUAAGGUUAAUAACCUUAGCAAUUGACGUUAGCGACAGAAGAAGCACCGGCUAACUCCGUGCCAGCAGCCGCGGUAAUACGGAGGGUGCGAGCGUUAAUCGGAAUUACUGGGCGUAAGGGCACGCAGGCGGUUAAUUAAAGUUGGAUGUGAAAUCCCCGGGCUUAACCUGGGAAUGGCAUUCAAGACUGGUUAGCUAGAGUCUUGUAGAGGGGGUAGAAUUCCAUGUGUAGCGGUGAAAUGCGUAGAGAUGUGGAGGAAUACCGGUGGCGAAAGGCGGCCCCUGGGACAAAGACUGACGCUCAUGUGCGAAAGCGUGGGGAGCAAACAGGAUUAGAUACC
rnacentral:rRNA from 1 species